GGCAUAUACAAUGUGCCAGGCACUAGAGAUACAAAUGGGGGGGGGGGAGAAAGGAGGGGAGAAACCCCUACACACAACGUGCUUACAUUCAAAUGGAGACAAAAAGCACACAUUAAAUAUAUUUUCAUUUAUUGGUUUUUUUCAUUCUUAUCUUUGUGACCCUAUUUGAGAUUUUCUUAGCACAGGGCUCUAUCCUAGCUGCCCAUAUUUAUAGGAUUAAUAUAAAGUGAAUGAAUGCAAAUAUACGCAAAAUAGUUAACUUCAAGGUGAUUUGAGGGAGGAGGAUGCCAGCUGCUGAGGGAAUCAGAAAAGGCUUUAUGUAGAUGGUGCUUGAGCUAUGUCUUAAAAUUCUGAGUCUGAAAUAGGGAAGAUGUGCCCUGCAGGAUUGGGAGACAAAGGCAGAGAAUGGCUGUAAUGUCCUGGUUAGCUUUCUGGAAGUCUUGGGACCUGCGUUUCAGCUGAGUAAUCACAAUGAGAAUGGCCAGGGAGCAAGUCCAAAAGUCUUUGUUGUCUCCUUCACAGUCUGUCUCCUUGCCUGGGGCUCGGCUAGCUUUCUGGAGGCCCUUCAGAUGGGCCUUGGUCUCAAUGGGGGAAGCAGACAGGCCAGCCACCACGAGACUGAUGAAGAUGGAAUGUCUCUCCAAGUCUGAGAGCUUGAGCUCCAGUCUCCAGUCCUCUUUCUCUGAGUCUGUUUCUAGGCUUGACUCUGACUUCUUAAAUACUUUAUUACAAUUAAAUCUAUUCAUCAUAAAGCCGAGCAUUAUAUCACUAGGGAACUAUUAUUUGUUGUAAGAUUAAUUUAAUCAUACUGAACUACAGAACUCACAUGCUAAACUUGAUAACCAUUGUUUUAUCAAUUCCACUGAGUUAGCACUUUGUAAGAAUCCUUGUUUCAAGUACAUUUCUCCAGAAUUCUGACCCAUUACAAGUGGGGAAAUAGUAUCAUGUGAGGAACAGAAAGCAGGCCAAUUUGCCUGGACUGCAGAGCAGGAGCAGUAGGGAUGAGUAAUGUUUAAACGAGUCUGGAAAGAUUUUCAUUCCGCGAUUUGUUCAGUCAGUCUUGAAAAGAUAUAGCAGGCAGUUUUCAAAGGAAGAAAUAUGAAAUAACCACAUGAAAAAAUGCUGCAAAUCAAAUAACAUUACUAAUAAAAGAAGUGCACAAUAAAACAACUUUGGAAUUUUACUAUAUGUACAUCAAAUUAGUAAAGACAACAGGAGGAUAGUGAAAUAAUUGAUCUUUAAGGUUCUUUUCUCUAAAUCUAUGCAUAUGCAACACUGCAUACUCUGGUGGUUUUAUCUUGAUUUUGGUUAACUAUUUCAAAGGAAAGACUACUGAAGUUGGGGCAAGUGGUAAGAAUGGUAAAUAGUGGAAGGACUAUGGGGAAAAGGGGCACAUUAAUACACUUGGCAGAGCUAUAAGUGGAUCCAAUAAUUCAGGAAAACAAUUUGGAAUUAUAUUAGAAUUUUAUUUUUUAAAAAUCACUAACAAGAAAUAUGAAGAAUUUAAGGAACUGUAUGAUAUAAGACUACUAACACAAAUUCAUAACAAAAGUCACUCCCUACUUGAGAAAUGGUCAAAAGAUAUGAACAAACAAUUCCUUUUUUUUUUUUUUUUGGUGAGACGAUUGGGGUUUGCCCAGGGUCACACAGCCAGACUACUCUGAGCCUUGCAAAAAAGCUUUUACAGAUCAGGAAAGGAAGAUGGACAAGGCUGAAUGGCCCAGAGUCACACAGCUAGAAAGAGCGGAGACCACAUUUGAACUCAGGCUGCUCUGACUCCAGGCUCGGCUCUCUCCAUAACUACAGCUAGCAGCGAAUGCCAAAGACUAGGGGAUCAAGAAAAGCUUUUCAUGUGAAAGGAAACCUGAAUUGAGCCUCCAGGGAUGCUGAAUCAUAAACAUCUAUCAAGCACCUACUAUGUGCCAAGUACUCUGUUAAGUGCUAGGAAUCCAACAAAUGGCAAGAUAUACUCCCUGCCCUCAGACUAGUAGGAAAGACAACAUGCAAAACAAUUACACACAAACAAAACAAACAGGAGACAAUGCAAUUAUCAAGAAGGAAGGCACUAGAUGGGGAAUCAGAAAAGAAUUCCAGUAAAUCCUUAAAAAACCAAGGAUUCUAAAAGUCUGAGAUUAGGAGAGAGUGAACAUCAGUCAUGAGGGAAUAAACUGUGGAAAACUGAGAGAGGCAAUGCUAAAUUUAGGUUUGCUGGGAAUGUAUACACAAAGGGAAGAAAUGCCAAAUUGGUCUAAAAAGUAGGUUGGGGGAACAGCUGGAUAGAGUACCAGCCCUGAAGUCAGGAGAACCUGGUUCAAAUUUGGCCUCAGACACUUAACACUUCCCAGACGUGUGACCCUGGGCAAGUCACUUAACCCCAACUGCCUCAGGGAAAAACAAAAGGUUGAUCACUACUGGGUCUAUAUCCCAAAAAUAUCAUAAAAGUGGGAAAAGGACCUGUAAUAUUCUCUCUAAAAUGUAAUGUUCUCUGUUGAGCUUCUCUUGGGGUUUCUGGAGGCAGCCUUCUUUCAGUUCAGUAAUCACCACACGAGUGUAGCCAGGUGUUAAAGUCUCCUUCACUUGGGGCUCGGCUAGUUUUUCUGGAGGCCUUCUGGAGUCUUGGUUUCGGUGGAGAAGUGAAGGACGAGAGCCUGCCACCACUUCUCUGUCUUCCCUAGUUCUCAUUCUAGCUGAAUUUGUUUGAGCUUUUAUCCUCUCUAAUCAAAUGUGUGAAUCUUGUAGAACUAUAGUAAGUACUAAGUACAUGUACUGAACUAGAGAACAGUUAAGCACCAUGCUAAAUAACUAUUGUCUCUAUCAAUUCCACUGACUUAGUACCUUGUAAGAAUCCUUUGUUUCAAGUUCAGAGUUCUGGCCCAUAACAAGGACCUAUGUGCAAAAAUGUUUGUAGCAGCCCUUUUUUUUUUUUUUUUUUAAAUAGCUUUUUAUUUCCCAAAUACAUGCAAAAAUAGUUUUCAACAUUCACCUUUGCAAAAUUUUGUGUCCCAAAUUUUUCUCCCUCUCUUCCUCCUACUCCCUCUCCCAGACAGUAAUCCAACAAAUGUUAACAUACACAGUUCUUCUCUAUAUAUAUCCACAUUUAUCAUGCUAUGUAAAAUCUGGGUUAGCUCUCUGGAGGGCCUCGGUACCAAUCCAAAUUCUUGAUCUUUAGGUGGGGAAGUGAAGGAGGCAGGAGAGUGGCCACAAAGCUGGUCCGCAGAUGGGAGUCUGGAAUCUGCAGCCUGAAGUCUUCUGUGACUGAGAGCUGCAACCGAGAGAGCCCUUUGUCCCUGAGACUCCCUUAAAUACCCCAGCUCGACUACAUCACUACACCACACUGGGCAUGCAUAGCUAUAGAACAUCACAUCACCACCUUACCCUAAGUAUACACCAACUAGACUGACCAUAUCAUUACAUUACAUCAAAUAUGUGCUUAGAGAACCAUCAUCUCACAUCUGCAGUAUGUGAAUGUAACACAAUAUUACUGUUCUAUAAGAAAUGAUGAGGAUGAUUUCAGAAAAGCCUGAAAAGACUUACAUGAACUGAUCCUGAGUAAAGUGAGCAGAAUCAAGAAAACACUGUACACAAUAAUAACAAGACUAUGGGGAUGAUCAAUUAUAACAGACUUGGCUCUUCUCAGUAAUUCAGUGAUCCAAGACAAUUCCAAUAAAUUUUAGAUAGAAAAUGCCAUCCGCAUGUAAAGAACUAUGGAGACUGAAUAUAGAUCAAAGCAGUUUUCUCAUCUCUUAUUUUUUUCAUGUUUGCUUUUUCUCUCUUAUGGCUUUUUUUUUUUUCCCUUUUAAGUCUAUUUUUCUUGCACGACAUGAUAAAUACGGAAAUGUUUAGAAGGGCCGUAUGUUUAACCUAUAUCAGAUUGCUUGCUAUCUUGGGGAGGGGGAGGGAGAAAAAAUUUGGAACAUGGAAUUUUGCAGAAAUGAAUGUUGGAAACUAUCUCUACAUGUAUUUUGGAGAGAUAAAAUACUAUCGAGAAAAAAAAAUAAAGAGGUACUUAAAGAAUUUUAAAAAGUAAAAGUAGGUUGGAAAUGGACAAAGGAGGGAUUAAGAAGUAAUUUGAAAAUGUAUAUAUUUUGUCCUGGAAGGAAUAGAUCUGUGCUUUAGGAAGAUUAUUUUGGCUAAGUGGAAAAUGGAUUAGAAAAGGGAGAGUAGUAGAAGUAAGAACAGAUGAAAACGAAAGAGAGAAGGGAAUGGAUACUAAGGGGGAGUUCGGAAGAAUCAAUCCACCUUGGUGACUGAUUGGGUAUGGAGGGAAAAGAAAAGGAAGAAUUGAGGAGACUAAGGCUGAAAACCUGAAUUAUUAGAGACUGAAUUCCUCUAUACCGCAUCCCUCCUAAUUUAAUACUAUUAAAAUAUCCACCUAAAUUGAUGUCCCAGCCAAAAGUCUUCAAACUAAUAAUUCUGCAGGUCUGACCCUAAUACUCUCUCCUCCCAUCCCCUCCCCCCAACAACCCCCGUGGCUCCCUACUACCCACAGGACAAAUGUCAGGUCAAGAAUAAUAACAGUUAAUCAUGACAAUCCGUCCCAGGCGAGGUGCUCAACUUCAGAGCCUCAGAGAAAGAAGCUCCAGCCCCGCAAGGAACUCACACUCUAAUAGAGAAAGAGCCUGGUUUCCCGGGUUUUCUUCCAAGAAUCAACACCGAUGCCGCUUCUGCGAGAAACCUCUCCCCCGCAUCGCGCCCCACCGCGGGGUCUCCUGCUCUUCGCUUGGAAGACGCGGCGUCUUUAAAUUCCCAGAACACCUGGCAUACAGCAAGCGCCUAAUGAAUGUCUGCUGCUUGGCUGAGAAGCGUGGAGAAAUGGCUUUACAGGAGAAGAUAAAUUUUGUUUCCGAGAGAAACAGUAGCAACCCACGAGAACUGGUAAGGUCCCCAAGAAACGGGAAAACGCUUCUACCACAGUGGGAGAGGGACUCAAAGCCAAGAAGCUUUCCAGAGCCCUGCCUCCCAGGACAUCAAC
ensembl:lncRNA